GGCGUGCUUACACAUGCAAGNNNNACGAGAACGGCUCUAGCUUGCUAGAGUGUCAGCUAAGUGGCGGACGGGUGAGUAAUGUAUAGUUAAUUUGCCCCUUGGAGAGGGAUAGCCACUGGAAACGGUGAUUAAUACCUCAUACUCCUUCUAUGUUAAUCAUAGUUGGGAAAUGUUUUUCGCCAAGGGAUAAGACUAUAUGGUAUCAGGUAGUUGGUGGGGUAAGAGCCUACCAAGCCAAUGACGCCUAGCUGGUCUGAGAGGAUGAUCAGCCACACUGGAACUGAGACACGGUCCAGACUCCUACGGGAGGCAGCAGUGGGGAAUAUUGCACAAUGGAGGAAACUCUGAUGCAGCAACGCCGCGUGGAGGAUGACACAUUUCGGUGCGUAAACUCCUUUUAUAUGGGAAGAUAAUGACGGUACCAUAUGAAUAAGCACCGGCUAACUCCGUGCCAGCAGCCGCGGUUAAUACGGAGGGGUGCAAGCGUUACUCGGAAUCACUGGGCGUAAAGCGCGCGCAGGCGGCUAUUUAAGUUUGGAUGUGAAAGCCUACGGCUCAACCGUANAACUGCAUUCCAAACUAUUAAACUAAAGUCUGGAAGGGAAAAUGGAAUUA
rnacentral:rRNA from 1 species